GUAUUUGGGAGGGGAUUUUUUCCAUAGUUAAAGAAUCUUCAUUUCUUUGUUCUAUUCUUUGCAUAUAAAAUUAUUUCAUCCCUUUACUUGGCUCAUCUUCCUCCUAGAUCUACUUCUUUCUCGUCGACCGUUACUAGCACUCUCCAAUACAUAUAUUUUACUUGUCGACUAUAUGGCGGAGUUAGGCGUCGUAGUAGGAUGGGUUGCAUCUCCGAUCAUCAAAGCAAUGAUUGACACGGCGAGAUCCUACAUAGAAAGCCGCUUGCCUUGGCGAUCGGCAGUGGAGGGGGAGCUUUACAUGCUGGAGACCGUCCUUACUCAAAUCCUCGCCGUCGUCUCCACGGCCGAGUCGCUGCCCGCCACCCAUAACAAAGACCACCUCGCGCUGCUCCGCCAGAUGAAGGACGCCGUUUACGAGGCUGAGGACUUGCUCGACGAGUUCGGCUACCUUCUCCUUCAAUCCGAAGUGAAUUCUGGAUACAAGGUGAGCCUCCCUUCUGCCUUCUUCUCGCCUGUCGGCAUAAGUUUCAGAAAUAAGCUGAAGAAAGUGUUGAGUAAACUGGAUAAAGUUAAGGACUGCGCGCAGGCGUUCCUCGAUAUUGUUGGUGCGACAGUUACGACAGGUAGUAGCAGCGGUGUUGCAAGUGCGCCGCAGCAGCGUCCUACUAGCGCGUUCCCUCUUGAAAACCAAUUUUUCGGCCGAAAAGAGGAGCGCGGGAGGAUACUGCAAUGGCUUCUUGAAUCUGGCGAUCAGUCUGAAAUUCUUCUCUCGGUGGUCGGAGACGGAGGGGUCGGUAAGACUACGCUUGCGCAGUCGAUCUACAACGAAACAAAAGUGGCGGACCGUUUCGAGCUGCGUAUGUGGGUUUGCGUCUCGGCGAAUUUCAAUGAGCUCAGACUUACCAGGGAGAUCCUCUCGUUGGCGUGCGACGAUCUUGGCAAUGACUCGGCGAGCUUUAAUCUCAACAAGCUUCAAGAACAGCUCCAGAAGAGUGUAGAAACGAAGAGGUUCCUUCUAGUCUUAGAUGAUGUUUGGAAUGACGAGGGGAUCGAGGAGUGGGAGAAUAGAGACCGAUGGAUGAAACUGCUUGCGCCGCUAAGAUUCGGGGGUACGGGGAGCAAGAUCAUUGUGACCACGCGUUUGGAAAUAGUGUCGAGAAUGCUCGACGCAGGAGAUUCGAUCCAUCUGAAGGGGCUAGAAGGAGAUGAUUACUGGUUGCUCUUUAAGCGGCACGCCUUUCGCUCCGCGUGCGCCGACGACUAUCCGGAGCUCCAAGAAGUAGGCUGGGAAAUAGCGAAGAGGCUAAAGGGAUCUCCUCUCGGGGCGAAGGUGGUGGGGGGGAUGCUGAAUGCGGACAUGAAUGUUGAGAAGUGGAAGAAUGUUUUGAGAAGCAAUGUUUGGAAUGGCAUCAUGCCUGUUCUCAAUUUAAGCUACCAGAAUCUGCCACCCCACCUGCAGCCAUGCUUUGCGUACAGCAGUAUCUUUCCUGAAGAUUGGAGGAUCGAACCUGACAAGCUAGUUUACAUGUGGAUGGCGCAAGGCUUGCUUCGGCCUCAAGAAGGGAGAAGUAUGAGGAUGGAAGACAUUGGGAGGAUCUACUUUGACGACUUAUUGUCGAGAUCUUUUUUUCAGAAGCUCAAGGAUCACAAUGGCAAUUAUUAUGUCAUGCAUGACAUGAUACAUGAAUUGGCUCAAUCUGUUUCGAAGGAGGAGUGCUUUAGAAUCGAAAGUGAUAAUGUGCGAGAAAUCCCGUCAACCGUACGCCACUUGUCGAUCAACACCGACGCUCUGCUGCAGCUUACGAGCAUAUGCGACUUGAAGAACUUGCGCACGCUUGUAUUCUUUUCCUACAAUCAUUCUAUCGGUAGUGAUGUUUUCAAACAGCUGAGAAGCAUAAGAGUGCUGGAUCUAACCGAAUGUAAGAUGGAACAGUUACCUAAAGCUGCGGGCAAGUUGAUUCAUCUACGAUAUUUAGCAUUUGCUGAGACUCCUAAGACAGCACCUUCAUCAAUCUAUCGGCUUUACUAUCUACAAGUGUUGGAUGUUUCGCGAUCAAGGCUGCCCACUUUGUAUCCUAAAGGUAUGUUGUUUCCUGAAGGUAUGGACAAGCUAAUCAACUUGAGGGUUUUACAUGUUCCCGGGGCAUUCACAUCGCAGAUAGCUAGAAUUGGGAAACUGACCAGUUUGCAACGUCUAGCUGUAUUCCGUACCUCAAAGAAGAAGGGCCGUAAGAUAGUCGAGCUGCAGAACAUGAAUGAACUUCGGGGAUCACUUAGGAUCAUGAAUCUUGAGAAUGUGCAUAGCAUGCAAGAGGCCGCUGAAGCCAAAUUGAACCGAAAGGAGUACAUCAAGAAAUUGAGGUUAGAAUGGCACUACUCCGAGGAGACGAGAAGUAACGAUGAUCAAAUUCUCGAGGGCCUCCAGCCGCAUCCGAAUCUCGAAGAUCUAAAAAUCAUAAGUUGCUCAGGUAUCAGGUCUCCGACAUGGCUAGAGACAAAUUGGUUGUCGCAUCUGCAAUCCUUGACUCUGAGUUGCUGCAGAUCUUGGAUAUCUCUCCCCCCUCUCGGACGGCUACCGCACCUCAAAUUUUUGGAAAUUAGUCGGAUGUAUGCGGUAAAGAAAAUCAGCUUCGAGUUCUACGCCAACGGCAGCCUUAAAGGAUUCCCAUUACUGGAACACUUAAGAUUUGACCGCAUGCCGGAGUUGGUCGAGUGGUCCCAACCUGAAGAAUAUCGCGCGUUUCCUUCUCUAUGUGAUGUUCAAUUUAAGAACUGCCCGAAGCUAACGGACGAGGCAUUCUCGUCGUGCCUGCAAACCUUGAUUCGCCUCUCCAGUCUAGAGAUAAGUUGUUGCCAUCGACUUAUAUCCCUGCCUUCGGCAUCAGUUUUGCAUCAUCUAACCACACUAAAAGAACUGGACAUUAACUGCUGCGAAAAUUUGGCGUCGCUGGGAGGGAUACAUGCGCUUACUUCCCUCGAAAAGCUCAAAUUGAUGGAUUGUCCAGAGCUGCUGGCAUCUGUGAUCAUCGGAGAGGACAAUUAUGACAGAGGUUUUCUGCCGGCAUCGCUAGCGUCUCUCGAGAAAUAUCGCGCGUUUCCUUCUCCAUGUGAUGUUCAAUUUAAGAACUGCCCGAAGCUAACGGACGAGGCAUUCUCGUCGUGCCUGCAAACCUUGAUUCGCCUCUCCAGUCUACAGAUAAGUUGUUGCCAUCGACUUGUAUCCCUGCCUUCGGCAUCAGUUUUGCAUCAUCUAACCGCACUAAAAGAACUGGACAUUAACCGCUGCGAAAAUUUGGCGUCGCUGGGAGGGAUACAUGCGCUUACUUCCCUCGAAAAGCUCGAAUUGAUGGAUUGUCCAAAGCUGCUGUCAUCUAUGAUCAUCGGAGAGGACAAUUACGACAGAGGUUUUCUGCCGGCAUCGUUAGCGUCUCUCAAGAUUAUACGUUGCGGCCUUACCGAUGCAUCAUUGUCGAGUUGUCUCCAGAACCUCACCUCUCUUUCCACAUUAGAGAUAGCGGACUGCCAAAUUACGACUCUUCCGUCAAAACAAGUGAUGCGCCACCUGACAGCGCUGAAGCAGUUAACAUUUGUGUCCUGCUCGGCCCUGACGUCGCUUGGCGGGUUAUCAAAUCUCUCCUCCUUGAAAGUGCUGAAAUUUUUUCAUUGUCAUCGGCUUCUCGAGUCCGCUAACACCGACGGAGAAAACGGUCAGGUUAUUUUACCCUCUGCGCUCGAGUCAUUAUUGCUCGAUUCCUGCGGCAUUACCGACAAUUCACUGUCCGUAUGUUUGCAAAACCUCACCUCUCUUUCCGCCUUGCGCAUACAUGACUGUAACGGCAUUGUAUCACUCCCCCCUGCGACGGUCUUUUGCCGCCUAACCAUGCUUGCAGAACUGGAGAUAUUUAAUUGUCAGGAAUUGACAUCCGUUGUAGGAUUGACUGCCCUAACACGCCGAAGAUUUGUGACGAUCAGCUGUUGCCCCAAGCUUGCUGAUCUAUCAAGCAUUUCAUCCCAACUUGGGGAAUAUAGUGAAUGACGACGGCUUUGUAUUGCCCUUUUGGGGAUUCAAAAAGCAGUUCCAAGAAGGAAGGAUCUCGAGUCAGAUAUGGUUUCCGAGUGGCUUUUGCGCGAUUUCAUAUAAUUGUGUAUGAAAAACCAAACAUGCACCUUGUGAUGGCAUUUCAAUUUUGAAACCAUGUACUAUCUCGUGUUAAUAAUAGUCAUUGUGACCGACCGUCCCUAGAGCAAGUGGCAAAGGGCUUGGUGGUUGGUACCCGAGACCCAAGUUCGAAUU